rnacentral:rRNA from 1 species
GAUGAACGCUGGCGGCGUGCCUAAUACAUGCAAGUCGAGCGAACAGACGAGGAGCUUGCUCCUCUGACGUUAGCGGCGGACGGGUGAGUAACACGUGGAUAACCUACCUAUAAUACUGGGAUAACUUCGGGAAACCGGAGCUAAUACCGGAUAAUAUAUUGAACCGCAUGGUUCAAUAGUGAAAGACGGUUUUGCUGUCACUUAUAGAUGGAUCCGCGCCGCAUUAGCUAGCUGGUAAGGUAACGGCUUACCAAGGCAACGAUGCGUAGCCGACCUGAGAGGGUGAUCGGCCACACUGGAACUGAGACACGGUCCAGACUCCUACGGGAGGCAGCAGUAGGGAAUCUUCCGCAAUGGGCGAAAGCCUGACGGAGCAACGCCGCGUGAGUGAUGAAGGUCUUCGGAUCGUAAAACUCUGUUAUUAGGGAAGAACAAAUGUGUAAGUAACUAUGCACGUCUUGACGGUACCUAAUCAGAAAGCCACGGCUAACUACGUG